GACGAACGCUGGCGGCGUGCUUAACACAUGCAAGUCGAACGGAAAGGCCCUGCUUUUGUUGGGUGCUCGAGUGGCGAACGGGUGAGUAACACGCGUGUAACCUGCCCUUGACUUUCGGAUAACUUCAGGAAACUGGGGCUAUUACCGCAUAGUAGCUCUUGCUGCAUGGGGGGGGUUGGAAAGUUUCGGCGGUUGGGGAUGGACUCGCGGCUUAUCCGCUUGUUGGUGGGGUAGUGGCUUACCAAGGCUUUGACGGGUAGCCGGCCUGAGAGGGUGACCGGCGACAUGGGGACUGAGAUACGGCCCAGAAUCCUACGGGAGGCAGAAGUGGGGAAUAUUGCACAAUGGGCGGAAGCCUGAUGCAGCAACGCCGCGUGCGGGAUGACGGCCUUCGGGUUGUAAACCGCUUUCGCCUGUGACGAAGCGUGAGUGACGGUAAUGGGUAAAGAAGCACCGGCUAACUACGUG
rnacentral:rRNA from 1 species